GCAUUAAUGGGGUAGUGGUAACCUGGGUCGUUGCCAAUCGUCGAACAUUGAUUCGACCCGCCGGGGGUUCGAUUCCCCCUUAAUGCA